GCCUCCGUGGCGCAAUCGGCUAGCGCGUUCGGCUGUUGACCGCAAGGUUGGAGGUUCAAGCCCUCCCGGGGGCG
rnacentral:tRNA from 1 species